rnacentral:rRNA from 1 species
GAGUGGCGAACGGGUGAGUAACACGUGGGUAACCUGCCCAUCAGAAGGGGAUAACACUUGGAAACAGGUGCUAAUACCGUAUAACACUAUUUUCCGCAUGGAAGAAAGUUGAAAGGCGCUUUUGCGUCACUGAUGGAUGGACCCGCGGUGCAUUAGCUAGUUGGUGAGGUAACGGCUCACCAAGGCCACGAUGCAUAGCCGACCUGAGAGGGUGAUCGGCCACACUGGGACUGAGACACGGCCCAGACUCCUACGGGAGGCAGCAGUAGGGAAUCUUCGGCAAUGGACGAGAGUCUGACCGAGCAACGCCGCGUGAGUGAAGAAGGUUUUCGGAUCGUAAAACUCUGUUGUUAGAGAAGAACAAGGAUGAGAGUAAAAUGUUCAUCCCUUGACGGUAUCUAACCAGAAAGCCACGGCUAACUACGUGCCAGCAGCCGCGGUAAUACGUAGGUGGCAAGCGUUGUCCGGAUUUAUUGGGCGUAAAGCGAGCGCAGGCGGUUUCUUAAGUCUGAUGUGAAAGCCCCCGGCUCAACCGGGGAGGGUCAUUGGAAACUGGGAGACUUGAGUGCAGAAGAGGAGAGUGGAAUUCCAUGUGUAGCGGUGAAAUGCGUAGAUAUAUGGAGGAACACCAGUGGCGAAGGCGGCUCUCUGGUCUGUAACUGACGCUGAGGCUCGAAAGCGUGGGGAGCGAACAGGAUUAGAUACCCUGGUAGUCCACGCCGUAAACGAUGAGUGCUAAGUGUUGGAGGGUUUCCGCCCUUCAGU